rnacentral:rRNA from 1 species
GAUGAACGCUAGCUACAGGCUUAACACAUGCAAGUCGCGGGGCAGCAUGUUACUGGCUUGCCAGUAAUGAUGGCGACCGGCGCACGGGUGAGUAUCGCGUAUCCAACCUUCCCAUAUCCACGGGAUAGCCUGCCGAAAGGCAGAUUAAUACCGUAUGUUGUCGCACGCUGGCAUCAAAAUGCGACGAAAGGCUUAGCGGAUAUGGAUGGGGAUGCGUCCGAUUAGCUUGACGGCGGGGUAACGGCCCACCGUGGCGACGAUCGGUAGGGGUUCUGAGAGGAAGGUCCCCCCANAUUGGAACUGAGACACGGGUCCAAAACUCCUACGGGAGGCAGCAGUGAGGAAUAUUGGUCAAUGGGCGAAGCCUGAACCAGCCAAGUUAGCGUGCAGG